rnacentral:rRNA from 1 species
CGCGGCCUAUCAGCUUGUUGGUGGGGUAGUGGCUUACCAAGGCUUUGACGGGUAGCCGGCCUGAGAGGGUGACCGGCCACAUUGGGACUGAGAUACGGCCCAGACUCCUACGGGAGGCAGCAGUGGGGAAUAUUGCACAAUGGGCGGAAGCCUGAUGCAGCAACGCCGCGUGCGGGAUGACGGCCUUCGGGUUGUAAACCGCUUUCGCCUGUGACGAAGCGUGAGUGACGGUAAUGGGUAAAGAAGCACCGGCUAACUACGUGCCAGCAGCCGCGGUGAUACGUAGGGUGCGAGCGUUGUCCGGAUUUAUUGGGCGUAAAGGGCUCGUAGGUGGUUGAUCGCGUCGGAAGUGUAAUCUUGGGGCUUAACCCUGAGCGUGCUUUCGAUACGGGUUGACUUGAGGAAGGUAGGGGAGAAUGGAAUUCCUGGUGGAGCGGUGGAAUGCGCAGAUAUCAGGAGGAACACCAGUGGCGAAGGCGGUUCGCUGGGCCUUUCCUGACGCUGAGGAGCGAAAGCGUGGGGAGCGAACAGGCUUAGAUACCCUGGUAGUCCACGCUGUAAACGGUGGGUACUAGGUGUGGGGUCCAUUCCACGGGUUCCGUGCCGUAGCUAACGCUUUAAGUACCCCGCCUGGGGAGUACGG